AUUGGCUGCACCUGAGUGCAAGUGCCUGAUAUUGUCCUCUCUUGGAAGCUAAGCAGGGCCGUGUUUGGUUAGUACUUGGAUGGGAGACCAACAUGGAAGAAGACAGCUACUA
rnacentral:rRNA from 12 species